rnacentral:lncRNA from 1 species
UAUUAUUGUACCAGAAUUGAAGCCUCCAUUUGGAGCAGGUUCUUAUUUAUCGCUUUAUUUAUUUAUUUCCCGCAGCGCUUUUAUUUAUUUAUUUCCCGCAUCGCUUUUAUUUUAUUUAUUUCCCACAUCGCUUUUAUUUUAUUUAUUCUCCGCACCGCUUUUAUUUUAUUUAUUUUCCGCACUCGCUUUACUUUAUUUAUGUUCCGCACGCGCUUUACUUUAUUUAUUUUCCGCACUCGUUUUACUUUAU